GAUGAAGAACGCAGCGAAAUGCGAUAAGUAGUGUGAAUUGCAGAAUUCAGUGAAUCAUCGAAUCUUUGAACGCACAUUGCGGCUCCUGGUAUUCCGGGAGGCAUGCCUGUUCGAGCGUCAUUAAAAUCACUCAAGCUUAGGUUUACCUAUUGCUUGGUCUUGGAGAUGGAAGCCAAUUUAUUGGAAUCCUCUUCGAAAUUCAAUGGCGAAGACCCUUGCUCUCCCAAGUGUAGUAAUAACUUAUGUCACUGAAGGAAGCGAGAAAUCUUCUGCCGUAACCCCCAUAUUUUCUAUGAUUGACCUCGGAUCAGGUAGGGAUACCCGCUGAACUUAAGCAUAUCAAUAAGCGGAGGA
rnacentral:misc_RNA from 1 species